GACGAACGCUGGCGGCGUGCUUAACACAUGCAAGUCGAACGAGUGGCGGACGGGAGAGUAAUGCGUGGGAAUCUCGCUUAUGGAGGGGGUUACCUAUGGGAACCUGUAGCAAAUCCCGCGUACCAUAGGAUGAGCCCAAGUGACAUUAGGUAGUUGGUGAGUUAAAGGCUCACCACGCCGACGAGCGCUAGCUGGUCUGAGAGGAUGACAGGCAACACUGGAACUUAGACACGGCCCAGACUCCUACGGGAGGCAGCAGUGGGGAAUAUUGCGCAAUGGGGGCAACCUGACGCAGCCAUGCCGCGUGAAUGAAGAAGGCCUUCGGGUUGUAAAGUUCUUUCGGUAGCGAAGCGUUAACUACAGAAGAAGCACCGGCUAACUCCGUGCCAGCAGCCGCGGUAAUUC
rnacentral:rRNA from 1 species